rnacentral:rRNA from 1 species
UACGAAGGGGGCUAGCGUUGCUCGGAAUCACUGGGCGUAAAGGGCGCGUAGGCGGCCAUUCAAGUCAGAGGUGAAAGCCCAAGGCUCAACCUUGGAACUGCCUUUGAUACUGUUUGGCUUGAGACCGGUAGAGGUAAGUGGAACUGCGAGUGUAGAGGUGAAAUUCGUAGAUAUUCGCAAGAACACCAGUGGCGAAGGCG